rnacentral:tRNA from 1 species
GGGAAGAUGGCUCAGUGGUAGAGCACUUGCCUUGCAUGCCUGAGGCCCUGGGUUCAAUUCCUCAUCACCACA